rnacentral:lncRNA from 1 species
UUCUUCUGGAAAUUCUUCUCUCCUUCGGUUUACACGACCUUGUUUAUUCUCCUCCUAGAGGCUUUUGUUGUUGUUGUUGUUGUUCUGAAGCAUUUAAUGGGUCACUAUUCCUAAAUUCUAUCUUUGAUGCUCUUUCUUCUUCUGUGUGCUUUUUUCCAGGGUGGCAGUGUAACAUCACACUUACCAGCGCAGAACUUUGAGUUAGAGAAAUCUUGAAUAUUAGCUCUGCCUCUUCCUGCUUUCUGCUCUCAGGUCACUUAAUACCUCCAGGCUCAAUGUCCUCAGCUGUAAAAAUGAGCCGUCCUCUCUUACCUCCCGGACCGUUGAGAUUUUGAAAUGAGAUAGACAUAAAGCCUUCAUCAUAGGGCUUGGCACAUGGAAGGUGCCAAAUAAACAGUACUUUUGACCAUCUAUUUUUCUACUUCAAAGAAUAUGUUGAUGAUUCCAGAUAUUUAGCUAUAGUUUCUCUAUUGGGCUCCAAAUCUCUCCGUGUAGUAAUCCAUAUCAGUGGUUUCAUUUUUUUUUUUUCAUAUCAGUGGUUUCAAAUGCCAUUUGUGUAAAUCAGUGAUGAGGAUUACAUUGGUAUAAGAAGAACUGAAAAAAAGAAUAAGGACUUCCGUUGAGUUUUAAACUGAAGACCCAUAGGAAAUCUUCAUGGACUGGGGGAUCGCUGGGAGUUUUGGGGGUUGUGGAAGACUGGAAGAGGAACAGACAAGAAAGCAGCCAGACGGUACAUCUCUGAGGCCUUAGUAAGAGAAUGGGUAAUAAGGAAGCUCAUCGGAAGCAGCGAUUACCUCUGGGUAGGAGACCUUUGCCUCCACUCACCCAUUUGUGUGAUGUCCUUAUUCAAGGAUUCUGGACCCGUACUGAAUAAAGAUAACAGAGUGGGUAUUUGGGUUCUAAGAUAAUUUUUUAAAUUUAUAUACCAUGGAGCAGAUAGUUCUAGAAUCUAAUAUUAAGUUUGGUGUCUCAAAUCUAAAAGAUACAUAGAGACCCUAGAAAGAGCUCAAAGGAAUACCUUAAAGAGAAAUUUAGAGUUUUUGAGUAAAGAUUCAAGAAGAAAGACUCUAAAAAGG